UACGACGGUGUCUGCUGGUGUCCGACA
rnacentral:piRNA from 1 species